CAGCCGCCGCGGUAAUACGUAGGUGGCGAGCGUUAUCCGGAAUUAUUGGGCGUAAAGAGUGAGCAGGCGGCAGUCAAAGUCUGGAGUUAAAACGUGUGGCUCAACCAUACGUUGCUUUGGAAACUAGACAGCUAGAGUGCAGGAGAGGUUAGCGGAAUUCCAUGUGUAGCGGUAAAAUGCGUAGAUAUAUGGAGGAACACCAGUGGCGAAGGCGGCUAACUGGCCUGUAACUGACGCUCAGUCACGAAAGCGUGGGGAGCAAAUAGGAUUAGAUACCCUAGUAGUCCACGCCGUAAACGAUGAGUACUAAGUGUUGGGAAACCAGUGCUGAAGUUAACGCAUUAAGUACUCCGCCUGAGAAGUACGUUCGCAAGAAUGAAACUCAAAGGAAUUGACGGGGGCCCGCACAAGCGGUGGAGCAUGUGGUUUAAUUCGACGCAACGCGAAGAACCUUACCAGGUCUUGACAUCCGGUGCAAGACACUAGAGAUAGUGGGAUAGUUAUGGCCGAGACAGGUGGUGCAUGGCC
rnacentral:rRNA from 1 species